rnacentral:rRNA from 1 species
GGUUACUGCUAUCGGUGUUCGCCUAAGCCAUGCGAGUCAUAUGUUCUUCGGAACAUGGCGUACUGCUCAGUAACACGUGGAUAACCUGCCCUUGGGUCCGGCAUAACCCCGGGAAACUGGGGAUAAUUCCGGAUAACGCACAUAUGCUGGAAUGCUUUAUGCGUCAAAUGGAUUCGUCCGCCCAAGGAUGGGUCUGCGGCCUAUCAGGUAGUAGUGGGUGUAAUGUACCUACUAGCCUACGACGGGUACGGGUUGUGAGAGCAAGAGCCCGGAGAUGGAUUCUGAGACAUGAAUCCAGGCCCUACGGGGCGCAGCAGGCGCGAAAACUUUACAAUGCGGGAAACCAUGACAAGGGGACACCGAGUGCCAGCAUCAUAUGCUGGCUGUCCGGGUGUGUAAAAUACACCUGUUAGCAAGGGCCGGGCAAGACCGGUGCCAGCCGCCGCGGUAACACCGGCGGC